rnacentral:lncRNA from 1 species
CGACUCAGACCAUUUUACAGUGGUUAUGGGGCUCCAUCAAGGAUCAACUCUUAGCCCUCUCUUGUUUGCCUUGGUGAUGGAUGCUCUAACCCGACAUAUUCAAGGGGAUGUGCCUUGAUAUAUGCUAUUUGUUGAUGAUAUAGUCUUGAUAUACGAGACGAUGGUCGGUGUUAUUGAGAGGUUAGAGGUAUGGAGAAAGACUCUCGAGUCUAAGCGUUUCAAAAUAAGCAGAUCUAAGAUAGAAUACCUGGAGUGCAAGUUUAGUGCCGAGCGAGCAAAGUAGGUAGGGACGUGAUGAUUGGAUCUCAGGUCAUCGCCAAGAAGGAUAGUGUCAAAUAUCUUGGGUCAGUUAUUCAAGGGGACGGAGAGAUUGACGGGGACGUCACUCAUCGUAUAGGAGCGGGAUGGUCAAAAUGGAGGCUUUGCAUCAGGAGUCCUGUGUGACAAGAAAGUUUCACAGAAACUCAAUGGGGAAUUUUAUAGAGUUGUGGUUAGACCUGCCAUGUUGUAUGAGGCGGAGUGCUGGCCAGUGAAGAACUCUCAUGUUCAGAGAAUGAAGGUUGCGGAGACGAGGAUGCUCAGGUAGAUGUGCGGGCUCACCAGGUUAGAUAAGAUUAAGAGCGAAGUUAUUCGAGAGAAGGUGGGGGUGGCCCGGUGGAUGAGAAGAUGCGAGAAGCAAGGCUGNNNNNNNNNNNNNNNNNNNNNNNNNNNNNNNNNNNNNNNNNNNNNNNNNNNNNNNNNNNNNNNNNNNNNNNNNNNNNNNNNNNNNNNNNNNNNNNNNNNNNNNNNCUAGAAUGCGGGUUUCUGAGGACAUGGCCCUUGAUAGGAAAGUCUGGAGGUCUAGUAUCAGGGUUGUAGGAUAGGAGCCCCUAGGGUUUUUCGUACGAAAGAAGCUUGCUUACACCUUGCUUUAUAUUGAAAGAAGUCUUCCUCCUUGAGAAGGUAGCCUUUCUAUCAUUUAGUGGAUAACUCUCUUCACCCGGAGUUGGGUGAGGCUUGUCAGGGCUAUCUAUAGAUGAUUUGUGUAUUGGAUUGUUUCUCCCUUAUCAUUGUUAUUUAUGGUAGUUACUGUCUGAUAUUAUUGCAUGCUAUUUUAUUUAUGGUUCUUAUGUUUAGAUAAUUAUAUAUGUUAUUUCUGAUGGAGUUACUAAUGCUAUUUUGUUUUUGUUUUUGUUUUUCGUUUCCUUCACUGAGUCGAGAGUCGACUGGAAACAACCUCUCUGCCCUUUCGGGUAGGGUACGAUCCGUCUACAUAUUACCCUCCCUAGACCCCACUUUAUGGGACUAUACUGGGUAGUAGUAGUAGUUGUUGUAUCAAUACAUAUACAGACCUAGGGUAAUUUCACAAAUGGUCAUAUAACCAUGACGUUUUUUCACUAAAGUCAUAUAACUUUAUUUUCUCACGAAAAAUCAUAUAACUAUGACUUACUUUUACUAAAGUAAUAUAACUUUGUUUCUCACGUAAAAAUUAUAUAACUAUGAAUUUGUUUCACUAAACUCAUAUAACUUUGUCUUUUCACAUAAAAAUCAUAUAACUAUGAUUUUUUUACCCAAAUUAUAUUUUCUCACACAAAAAUCAUAAAAUUUCUACUAACUCACACAAAAUUAUAGUGAUCGGAAAUAUGGGUGGGCAUAUAUCGGGUAAAACCGAUCACCCAAAUCAUUAAUUCUUUAUUGUAUUAUUGGUAUUGGGUUAACGGUUCGGUAACGGGUUAAUAUUUUUUUAUUGGAUUAUCGAUUCGGGCUCGGUUUACAUUUUUGUUAUUGGGCAAAAGCCGAUAAUCCAACAAGAAUGAAAUAAUUUACUAAUUUACCCUUAACUAUAUACUAGGGUUCUAUUUUCCUAAUUCCUUCCUCAUUCUUCACUCUUCAGUCGUCUGUCUCUCAGUUCUCAUUCUUCUUUCCGCCGCAGCCCCCAAAAGUCAAGAUGCAAGACACGCCACCAGUUCUCCACCAGAAGCCAGUACCUCACCAAUUCCACCAGUCACGACGCUUCACUCCCUUACUCGUCAAUCGCAUUGUGUGAGUUUUGGAUCAAGAUUUUUAUGUUUGCUUCUUGUUAAUUAUUUUGAAAGUGUAUUUGAUUCUUCUGCUGAAAUUUCUAGUUAGAUGAGAAGAAAUUUUUUGAUAUUCAAUUUGAGUUAACAUAGGUGAUAUUGUGCUAUAUGGUGUUGAUCCAUGGUGUUUAUGAGUAGAUACUGAACAGAAGUGGAAGUGUGCUUUUGUUAUGAAAUAAGAAAAGUUAGCAGUUUACAGUUUACACGUUUUGACAAUUUGAUUUCUUUGUUUUAUAUAUUGCAAAAUUUUUUAGUUUGUUUUAUCUUAUCGGGUAAACUGAUAACCGAACCGAUAACGAGAUAUAACCGAUUAACCGAUAAUCGAUAACCAAUAUCUUAUCGGAUUGAUUAUCGAGUUAAGAUAUUUGUAAAUCGGUAACCGAUAGGCAAAACCGAUAAUGUUCAAAAUCGAACUGAACCGACCGAUGCCCACCCCUAAUCGCAAAAUAUAAUUUUUCACUAAUAUUUUCUUAUUUUGUAGAUUAUUAUUUUCUUAUUUUCAACCUUAUAAAUAAUAAUUCAAUUAAAUAUGAAUGACUCAAUCCAACCUGGCCCAUCCGACCCAAUACUCAUAUAUAUAAAUUAAAAUAAUAUUAAAAGCGAAUAGCAAAACCUUCAAAAUAUGAUACUUUUAUUUUUUUUUAUUUCCAUGAUUUUUAUUCAAAUAUAUAGCAUUUUAAUUCCAACUUCUCUCUAAUUAUAACUUUUAUUUCUUUAUUUUUUUGUCAGGAUCUCAUGUAUUCCGAAUUGAAUUUUUUAUGAGGGAAGAAUUCACUUUUGGUAAAUAGGAGCGACCCAAGUUUUAAUUUAUAUAUAUGAGAUUGGGUCGGGUGAGCCAGGUCGGAUUGAGUCAUUCCUAUUUUAAUUGAACUAUUAUUUAGUAGGUUGAAAAUAAGAAAAUAAAAAUUUAUAAAAUAAGAAAAUACUAGUGAAAAAUAUAUUUUUCGAUCACUAUGAGUUUUGUUUGAGAAAACAUAAUUAUAUGAUUUUGGUUAAGAAAACAUUAUAGUUAUAACGAAACAAACGAAAAGGAAAGGAAAGAUGAAACAUAAAUCAAGGAUCAACUAAAUCCUCUGGGGGACUUUCUUAAAGAGGAACCUCAUGUAAAUACCAUGGAAUAAGGUUUGAUCCUAUUCAUGGAGAUUCCGUAACUAUUCCAAAAAUGGAAAGUUCAACACAAUUGGGAUUUUUUUGGAAAUUAGAAACAGUUACUAAUUCAUGAUUUGACAUGUACAAAACGAAAACUUCAUUUUCGAUUCUACGAGAAUUUUUAUGAAAGCCUUUCAUUUUUUUCUCUUCGAUGAAAUGUUUUUUGUGUGAAAAGACAAAGUUAUAUGACUUUAGUAAAAAAAAAAACUAUAAUUAUAUGAUCAUUUGUAAAAUUAACCCUACAGACCUAUAACAGAGUUAAAGUGAAGAUCUGUAGUUCGUUCCUCCAUGGGGGCAUUCUAAUUAUUCUUUGAUGAAUAUCUUUUUUCUGUGUUCCAAUUUGAUUUCUUGUACAUGUUUUGUUUUCCCCAAAAUUCAUUUCUUUAUUUUUAGUAGUAUGUAAGUCUGUGGACUGCUGGAUUUUCUUUUAUUGACAACAGGUAAAGAUAGAAGAUGAUGUCGUUCUUAAGCAUCGUAAGCUCCAAGGAGAGAAUUGAUUCACUGUAGAGAUUAGGAGCACAACAUUUAUAACAUCAGAUAAGAAUGUUUGUAAUAGGCAAUAGCUGGUUGUCCAAAAUUGGUAUCUUGUCUAUGUAUCUGGGGCGGCCCAAUAUUAUGUGAUAAUGUGCGAAUUUUCGCGUGAAUAUGGGCUGGAUUAUUUGUAUAUAUAUAUAUAUAAUAGCUGGUUGUCCAAAAUUGGUAUCUUGUCUAUGUAUCUGGGGCGGCCCAAUAUUAUGUGAUAAUGUGCGAAUUUUCGCGUGAAUAUGGGCUGGAUUAUUUGUAUAUAUAUAUAUAUAAUAGCUGGUUGUCCAAAAUUGGUAUCUUGUCUAUGUAUCUGGGGCGGCCCAAUAUUAUGUGAUAAUGUGCGAAUUUUCGCGUGAAUAUGGGCUGGAUUAUUUAUAUAUAUAUAUAUAUAUAUAUACACAUUCUGUAUAUAUAUAUACACACACAUUCUGUAUGUUGCAUACAAAACUUACACAAAUUUUAUACACUUUUGUUUGGCUAAAAAGUUAUACGAAUACUUGUUAAGCUAAAAAACAAUCGAGAAUAUAGAUAGGUAAAUCGAAAUCAAGCGUAAUAUGAACUAGAGAAUAUUAUUAUGCUAAGAUCGGUGAUAAUAAUGAGAUGUAGAUAUCUUAAGAUGUAAGAAUAAUGGAACAAGUAAUAAUCUUUGCACAAGAAAGAGAGAGAGAAUAAGUUGUAUAUUUUGAGUAGCAAAAUACUUAUGAGAGACUUUACAAAGUGAAGGUCUCCUUUAUAUAUUAGGGGAUCUUCCUCGAAAUAAUCAAAGAAAAGUACAGAAGUUGGUGGCUUCAGUGUACGGAAGCGUCAUAGCUUCAAACGAUGCCGUCUUGGGUCGUGUUAACCGGUCCGUCCACUUACUGGGGUCGACCUUACUUGGGUCGGCCUUAGUUGGGCCAACAUUGAUGCCAAGGAGACGUAGGGAACCAAAUUUGCCCGAUACAGAUAGUCGCUUCGUUUGUAAGGGACGCUUCGAGAAACGUCUUCAAUGACCGGACAUAUGUGCUUGACCUUUCUAGAAAUAUGGCCGUAUCCGUAGGUACUGUCAAAAAAGGCGUGAACGUAUGCGAAAGCGUUAUGCCGUUGACAUAUAACCUCCUUUUAGGGCUUCUUUUUAGGAUAACGUCAUCGAUCACGUGUGUGAUCAUUACUUUUGCUUCCGAGGCGGUUCAGGACAUGAUGUGGCAUUUUGGUUUCCCGCGCCAGUUUUCGAAUCAUGCCUUUUCAAUUUCCGUAUGCCUUUAUCUACAAAUAGUAGAGAGGUUGAAUCCAAUUCAACUUUUGAACCUUUUCAGAGAGUAUUUCCUUAAUUUUAUCUUCGUCUUUUUCCGGUAGUCGUUGAUCUACUUAAAAUUUCCGUUCUUGGGAAUCGAACCUUGUACCCUUGAAGCAUCUUUUUUUCAUAACUUUCACCAUGGUAAAACAUCGCCAUCAUAGCAAAAAAACAAUGGGUGAUCCUUCUAGGGUUUCACCAUUUUCAGAUGGCGUAGAAGGAGAAGCUGAGGAGGCCCUGUUCCUCUAUCCCCGACCAACGUACUCCCACAGGACAUGGUUACGCGGAAGGAUUUCAAUAAUAAAUGUAAACUUCCUCUUUGGGAACUUAGAGAGCUGACGUAAUCUCAUUUGGCUGCUAUUAGAAUGUCGUACAAUAUUCCUUAUUACGUUGAGAUGGUCCCCGCCGUGAUGGAUUACCCCAACAUGCACAAGCCUGGAUAUUGCACAUUUUAUGAGUAUGCUUUUCGAGUUGGAUAUAGCCUCCCUAUCAAUCCUUUGGCAGAGGAGCUUUGUCGUUUGUAUGGGGCGUGUCCAGCCCAACUUACCCCAUAUGCGCUGAAGGUGUGUAGUAUUCUUACCACCUAUGCGGCUAAGGCUAAGGAGGAGGUCUCCAUUCACUACCUCUUGCAAAUGUUCAGCGUGAGCUUCAUGAGAGAUACCAUGCUUCAGUUGGUACGUCUUGGCAAUAAACGUUUUGUGGUGCAAUCUGACGAUAAGGCCAAUCGUGCAUUUUGUAAGAAGUACUUUUACAUAAUCACAGAACAUCUGGUGUCUAACCCAGAAGGGUUACCGGAGGCAUGGAACACAGCAUGUAAGCAUUGCUGUAUGCAGUUUUUACGACGAUCUUAUUCCAUCGGCCUAAUCACCGUAGAUUUUUUUAUCUUUAUGCAGUGACAACUUGCACUCCUUGAAAGAUCAGUGACAAUAGGUUGUGGGGUGAGUGCAUUGAUACCGUCUGCAGAGGAGUGCCGCACCUGGCCGAAAUUCCGCAGGCUCUAUGGCCCGACAGGUAACGACCUUGCUUUGUUUUUCCCUUCCGUUCUGGCUUGGAAGCUCCCCUUAAUUUUCCUUGCUCAACUCAUACCUGUUUUGGUAGGUCGGGGUGCUUCUAAGAAGGUAUAGAAGAAGAAGAAGAAGAACACUGUGGCCGGCCCUUCCAGAGCAGCGUCUGAUUCUGACGAGGAGGAUAUACUCCUUGUAAGCACACCUAGGGGUAGUGUUUCUCCCCCCCCCCCCGAAGGCAAGAGGUUGAACCAGCGGCGGCUCCUGAAGAUACGUCUGAGGCGGUGCUUGGGGCCUUGCUUGAAUUGUCGCCCAAGGAAGUAUCGGAGGCGGUGCCUAAGACCGUCCCCGAGGUUGCCCCCAUAGUGAUGCCUACUACCGAAGUGGCGCCAUAUGAGCCAAACUUGCAUCCUACGGAGGGGGCUCUGAAGAAGAAGAGUCGUUAAAGAUAAAGAGACGUCGGAUUCGUGCUGGAAAGUCGGUGAUCACAUAGACAGAGAAGGUUAGGUCACCCCGUCGUGAGUCUAGGAUGGUCUUUAUGGCUGAUGCCAUUUGCUCGGGGAGGCCUGUUCCUCGAAGGGAGGCCGCUGUUAGUCCCAGCCCGGCACGUCCUUGGGACGGCGGGUCGCAGGCGGUCGCGUCGAGAGGAGGUGAAUGUGUUGAUAUGGCGAGCCCAAAAAUCGCUAUUGUGGAUGCGGUCGAAGAAGGCGGGUCCCCAGACCAAGUGGAGAUGAUAGCCGGCCAGUCUGCCCGUCGUAUACUGAUCCCCAAUUAUUAAAACUUGUUGGAAAAGUGUGAGGAGGCAGCCGCAAGCAUGACUUUUAUGUGUGGGUGCUGAGAGCGAGGCCUUGGCGGAUACUAGCGAUAGGGACUUGGCCUAAAGAGUGGCGGGCACGGCUUUGCAUGUAUGUCUUUUGACUUGAUUUUUUCCUCAUAUGUGGUGGGUGAUUUUCCGUGCACUUACCUUUUGGCUUUUUCCAGACUCUUGUCUUGGAGGCGGAGGGGGGUCGAUGCCUGAAGAAGAAGGUGGCCAAAUACGGUAGGUUGGUGCAGAAGUAGAACAAGACGUGCGAGGCGCACCAAACCUUUGCCAACAUAUAUAGACAGGACCCCGACUUUAGGGUGUGCUGUGAGGGCCUCGUGCAGUCGGAGGCAGAGUUGAAUAAGUGGGUGACCGAGAUGGAGAAGUUUGACGAGCAACUCAUGGCCGUUGUUGCUCGAGUUGCGGAUAUGGACAUCCUUAUUCAAUCUAAGGAUGAAGAGUUACAGCUUGGCCGUGUAGUGGCAGAGGAGGCGGCGGAAUUACGCACUCGAGUUGUGGCCUUAUCGAAGGAACUUGAUGCUAAGGCGGCCGAGGUUGAGGUCUUCAGGCAGGCUCGUGUACAGGAUGAUGCGUCUCGUGAGGCACAUGAGAUGUGGGUGUAUGCAGAGGCUCGACUGGUCGUACUUGAAGAGUUUUUGGCUUCCGAGCGAGCUUCUGAGGCGGAGGUUGAGAGUCAAUGCCAUUUGGCUAGAGUUUCCCGUGAAGCGGCCGGCUAUAGUCCUAAAUCACCAGCUUGGGAGGGAGGUAACUCCGCAGAUGUUAACCGUUUGGUUUCCACAUCUUGUAUUUCCAAGACGUACCCUCUUGGGAAUGAAGACGGGCCACAUGAAGACCAGGCGGGGCAGGAUGAACGGACUGGCAGAGGCCUUUAGGAUUUUUAGCGUAUGUUUGUAAAUACCUAUUUUUGUAUCAUGGGUGCUAACCCUUUUUUCUAAGGUCAAUCGUAUACAUGUUUUAUGUUCUGGAAAUAAAGACAUAUGACUUUUGCCAUAGUUAAUCUUUUUCUGUUUUCUGGAACCUUGUUGUAUUUUUUAUCACUGUCUUUGUGCUUUUUUUGCCGUAGUUGAAGCUAAGUGGGUCAUUCAUUGGCGACCACUUUGAGCGUGUAAGAUUCGGCAGCCUUGGCCGUGCAGAAAUGAUUGCCUUUGUGCUUUCUGCCGUAGUUGAAGCUAUGUGGGUCAUUCGGUGGCGACCACUUUGAGCGUGUAAGAUUCGGCGACCUUGGCCGUGGAGAAAUCAUGGCUUAGGCCACGUAAAAUUCGACAGCCUUAGUUAUGCGAAAAGGGUGGACUUAGCCGUAUAAAACGAUGGAUUUUAGCCAUGUAAAAUUUGACGGCCUUAACCGUGUUCAAACGACGACCUAAGCCAUCUAAGAUUUUAUGGCCUUAACCGUGUAAAAACGAUGGCCUUAGCCAUGUAAAAUUUUACGGCCUUAACCGUGUAAAAAUAAUGGCCUUAGCCAUGUAAAAAUUUAUGGCCUUAACCGGUAAAAACAAUGGCCUUAGCCAUGUAAAAUUUUACGGCCUUAACCAUAUAAAAACGAUGGCCUUAGCCAUGUAAAAGUUUACUGCCUUAACCGUGUAAAAAUGAUGGCCUUAGCCAUUUAAAAUUGUAUGGCCUUAACCUUGUAAAAACGAUGGACUUAGCCAUAUAAAAUUUUACGGCCUUAACCGUGUAAAAAUGAUGGCCUUAGCCAUAUAUCAUUUUACGACCUUAACCGUGUAAGAACGAUGGUCUUAGCCAUGUAAAAUUUUACGGCCUUAACCGGUUAAAAACGAUGGCCUUAGCCAUGUAAAACUUUACGGCCUUAACUGGCUUUUUCAUUCAUUUGGAGAUGGCCGUAACCUUUUCAUAUAUUCAAGAUAGCCGUAGCCUUUUCAUACAUUUGUAUAUGGCUGUAGCCUUUUUAUACAUUGGAGAUGGCUGUACCCUUUCUAUACAUUGGAGAUGGUCGUAGCCUUUCUAUACAUUGGAGAUGGUCGUAGCCUUUCUAUACAUUGGAGAUGGCCGUAACCUUUCUAUACAUUGGAGAUGUCACAAUCCAGUCUCUGUAUCAUGUCGGGCUUGGAGUGUACAUGGAGAGGCUGAUAUGAUACACUUGUACAGCAAAAAUCUCCAGGUAUUUCCUUUGCCGCCUCGUUAAAAACCUUCCCGAGAAAACCCAAUUGGGACAAAACUCGGGUAAGGGAAAAAGAGUACGACUAAGGGGACGCCUUUUUGAAGUGGAAAUGUUCGAGGUGGGCGACAUUCCAGUUGUUCCGGAGUGUUUUUCCUUCCGUUGUCUCUAGCUGGAAUGCCCCUUUACCGGCUGCCGCCGUGAUCGUGUAGGGACCUUCCCAGUUUGUGCCCAAUUUUCCUUUACUUGGGUCUUUAGAGGCCAACGUCUUGGCUGUGAGGACGUAGUCUCCUACUUUGAGUGGCCUUAUUUUUGCCCUUUUGUUGUAAUAUCUUUCCAAUUGUUAUUUUUGGGCUACCAUCCUUAUGUGGUCCAUUUUCCUUCUUUCUUCGGCUUCAUCAAGAUCGUGAAGUCCGCUGGUGUCGUUUUCUGUUCCACUGGUGUGCGAAUACCUUAGGCUAGGUUUGCCUACUUCGACGGGUAUGACCGCAUCGGUUCCAUAAACUAGUGAGUACGUGGUUUCCCCGGUGCUGGACUUUGGUGUAGUUCUGUGUGCCCAUAACACUUCAGGUAGAAGUUCGGUCCAUAUCCCUUUGGCGUCUUCAAGCUUCUUUUUCAAGUAUGUUUAGAAUUCUUUUAUUGGAGGACUCCGCUUGGCCAUUGGCGGCGAGGUGGUAUGGUGUGGAUUGUAUCCUUUUGAAGCGCCAUUCUCGAAGAACUCGGUUGUUUUUUAACCGAUGAACAAUCGUCAAUUGUUGCAACUUAUUUCUUUGGGAUGCCGAAGCGGCAUAUAAUGUUUUUCCAUAUGAAGGCAAUGACUUCUUGUUUGUGUAUUUGUGCGUACGCACCUGCUUCCACCCACUUGGAAAAAUAGUCAGUUAAAACAAGUAAAAUCGUACCUUUCCUGGUCCUGUGGGUAGGGGGCCGACUAUGUCCAUUACCCAUUUGAUGAAUGGCCAUGGAGAGGUGACUGAGUGUAGGGGCUCCCCUGGCUGGUGGAUAAUUAGGGCGUACUUUUGGCGUUGUUCUCAUCAGCGGACGUAUUCUGCAAGGGGCCGACUAUAUCCAUUCCCCAUUUGAUGAAGGGCCAGGGGGAAGUGACGAAAUGGAGGGGUUCUCCUGGUUGGUGUAUCAUUGGGGCGUACUUUUGGCAUUGUUCUUAUCGGCGGACAUAUUCAGCAGCUUCUUUUUUCAUGGUGGGCCAGUAGUAUCCGACACGUACGAUGCAUCGCACAAGGGCGCGGUUGCCAGUGAGGGCGCUGCAAAUGGCCUUCGUGCACUUCUUCGAGUACUGGCUUCGCUUGGUGUGGCCCUAAGCAUUUGUCCAGGGGCCCACUGAUCAUCCUUUUGUAGAGGUCGUUGACGAUCAUGCAAUUCCGGGCGGCUUGUAUGCGAAGUUUUUUUUCUUCUUUUUUUGUCGGGGGGUAAUGUCCCGUCCUGUAGAUAAGAUAUGAACUGGUUGCGCCAGUCCCAAGUUAAGUUUAAAGAAAGUACCUCGGUAUGAUCAAUGGCCGAGCGAAAGAGUGCGACCAUACUUUUUUUAUUGAUGUUUUUGUUGGUUGGCCCAACUUUGCUGGGUCGUCCGCUUUGAUGUUCCGUGCUCUGGGAAUUUGUUCGAAGCGGCAUUCGUCGAACGUAGCCAUUAGCUUGUAGAUUUUUGUUUGGUAAUUUUGUAGGAUUUGCUCUUUGAUUUGGUAAGUCCCAGUGAUCUAGUUUAGCACAAGUUGGGAGUCGCAAUGGAGGAGGAUUUGGCGAGCCCUAUACUUGAUGGCUAGUUUUUUUCCUGCAAUAACGGCCUCAUACUCGGCCUCAUUGUUAGUCAUUUUCGGGCAUCGUAUGGAUUGGCGAAUUAUUUCCCCCGUGGGAACCUCAAUGACGAGUCCCAGUCUCGACCCCGAUGCAUUGGCGGCGCCAUCCAUAUAAAGGACCCAUAGGUUUUUUUAGAGGAUGCGCGUUGUACUUCAAGUUCCGCCUCUGGCAAGACUUCCGCACUAAAGUCGGAAAUAAAGUUGGCUAGGACUUCCGACUUUAUGGCGGUCCUUAGAAGGUAUGUGAUAUCAUGCUCACUGAACUCAACGGCCUAUCUGGCGAGCCGACCUGAAAGUUCGGGCUUGUGUAAAAUGCUUCUUAAUGGGAAGGUCGUUACUAUCGUUAUGGGAUGGUAAUGAAAUAGGGUCAUAGCUUUCGUGAAGCUACUACGAGUGCUAAUGCUAGCCUCUCAAGGUGUGAGUAUCGAGUUUCGGCUUCCACUAAUGUUUUCCUAAUGUAAUAAAUAGGAGAUUGCGUAUAUUUAUUUUCACGUACUAGGACGGCGUUGACCGCGACUUCUGAUAUGGCCAAGUACACCAACAACGGUUUACCUGGGUUUGCUUUGACUAGUAGGGGCGGCGACGAUAGAUAUGCCUUAAAAAUUCUUCAAGGCCUCGACAUAUUCUUCGUUCCAUUGUAGUUCUUGGUCUUUUUUCAAUACACUGAAGAAUUUAUGGCACCUGUCAGAGGAGCGUGAGAUGAACCUAGAGAGGGCGGCUAUUCGACCCGUCAGCUUUGCACUUGUUUUUUGCUGCUUAGUAUUUCUGGGAUGGCUUCUAUAGCCUUGAUCUGGUCUAGGUUGACUUCGAUGCCCCUUUGUGACACCAGAAACCCCAGGAACUUUCCCGAGGCUACGCCAAAGGCGCAUUUCUCAGGAUUUAGUUUCAUACCGUAUCUUCUUAAUAUUUCGAAGGCUUCUUUCAAGUGAUCGAGGUGGUCCUCUUUCUUUGAUGACUUCACUAGCAUGUCAUCAAUAUAGACCUCCAUCAUUUUGCCGAGUUGUUCUUUGAUCAUCGUAGUCACCAGCCAUUGGUAUGUGCCCCCACAUUCUUGAGCCCGGAGGGCAUUACCUUGUAGCAGUAUAUUCGCUGGUGAGUGAUGAAGGUUGUUUUCUCCUGAUCUUCCUUGGCCAUCAUGAUUUGAUUGUAGCCGGAGUACGCAUCUAGGAAGCUUAAUAGCUCAUGUCCUGUCGUUGUGUCUAUUAAUUAGUCGAUGUGGGGUAGUAGGAACGAAUAUUUUGGGCGUGCUUUGUUUAGGUUGGUGAAAUCCACGCAGAUUCGCCACUUCCCAUUUUUCUUUUUGACCAUUACAACAUUGGCAAUCCAUUCCUGAUACUUGGACUCCUUAAUGGAACCGUUUUCCAGUAGUUUGUCUACUUCUUCACUUAUUGCUUCGUUGAUGGCAGCAUUAAAUUUUCUCCUGACCUACCGCACGGGAGGGUGUAGCAGAUCCCCAUUGAGUUUGUGGGAGGCAAUUUCUCGUGGAAUCCCUUGCAUAACUGCAUGGGAAAAAGAAAAUAGAUCUGCAUGGUUAGAUAGAAACUCACGAUACUUACUUGGAUUUGAAAGGCCGUGGCCUAUGUAUGCCUUAUUUGUGGAAUCGCUGUUGCUUGGCAGGACGGGGUCGAGGUCUUCGACCGUGGCCUUGUUAGCCUCAACAAUGUAGGGAUCUUCGAUGGUGUCCUCUGUCGGGUGGACCUUAGUCCCCGAAAUGGCUGAUUGUUAUGCUUCCGUAGUUUCUCCUUUGAGUUGUUUGGUGUGCGUGUAAUCUUAAGCUAUUUUAUAACACUUUUGGGCGGUGUGUGGCUCGCCCCGUAUGCUGAACACCCCCCAUGGGGGAGGGAAUUUGGUCACUUGGUAGAAACUGGAGGGGACUGCCCUCAUGGCAUGUAUCCACAGACAUCCGAUGAUAGCAUUGUAUGCCGUUUCUUGGUUCAUUACGUGGAAAGUGGUUUCCAUCGUAACUCCUCCCGCCAGAACGGGUAAUGUUACCUCACCAGAGGUUCUUUCCACUACAUUGUUAAAACCAGUUAGUGUUAUAUAGUGUGGUAUUAUCUUAUCGUCGAGUCCCAUUACUGCAAGGACUCUUGGAUGAAUGAUACAUUCGCCGCUGCCAUCGUCGACCAUAAUCCUUUUAACGUCAGUAUCUACUAUGCAUAAAUUAAUAACCAAAGCAUGAUAAUGGGGAAAGACAAGCCGUCGGUACCAGACUUAGUGAAGGUGAUACUAUCUUCGAAGUCGUUAUAUCGUUUGUGAACGAUGGUUCACUUUAAUUUGUGAGUGAUGGUGAAUUUCAUAUGGUUGAUCGCUGAGUCGUUGCCGUCCCCAAUGAUCAUGUUUAUGGUGCGUGUUGGUGAGGGCGACCUUGGCGGUCCGUAAGGUUGUUCCCGUCCACGUGCGAAGUUGAGUUUUCCUUUGUCGCUGAGUAGUUCUUUCAAGAAUCCUUGGUUCAACAUCCGAACCACCUCCUGUCAGAGAGCAGUCUUCAGUUCUGUGCCCUCGUUCCUGGUGAAACUCACAUAACGCAUUUGAUUUUCUGGUGGCUGGGUCGGACUUCAUCUUCGUCGGCCAUUGAACUUUCUUGCUCAGCUUCUCUAGUGCGUACACUACAUCUAAAAGAGAUACAUAAAAGUUAUGUGCAGAUUGUAAAUGAGGCAUACCUCUAUCAUUCCGUAGUGGGGAGACAUGUCGUUGUAAGGCGUCCGCAUGCCUUGGUGGUGGCGGAUGCGAAGAUCUGAUGUAUGGUUGGUCCUCUCCUUGUUAAGGCGUGGGAUUUGUUCCCGUCGUCCCUCGUUGUGUCGUUCUCUUCGGAUUUCUGGGUGCAUCGUUAUUAACCACCGGGUUGGGCCAUUAAGUUCGUCGUUGUAUCCACGUACCUCGACAUAGUAGGGCGUUGUGAAUUUCUUCCCAGGUGGUGGGGGAUAUUUCAUAAGGUAGCUAAGCAGUUUCUUGGUUGCCCUUGAGCCGUCUCUGUUGAGCUCAUUCUGAAAAGCUGCGAGUGCCAUGCCUUCUGACACAUUUGGCAGGCUCAUUCUGACUCAGUUGAAAAUGGCUAAGAACUCUCUGAGCCCUUAUCCUGAGGUCUGUCGAACAAUAAAGAUGUCGUUGACCCGUGCUUCCGCUUUCUGGCUCAUGCGUAAGCGGUAAAAAAUUUAUCUGCCAUUUCCUCGAACAUGGAGAUGCUUUUGGCCGGUAGCUGGGAAUACCAUGUUAGGGCCCCUCCCGUUAGUGUUUCGACGAACUUCUUCAGAAGUACGGACAAUACCUCCUCCUUUGAUAGAUCAUUACUUUUGACUGCCGUGACAUAGUAAUCAGAUGGUCCUCGGGAUCUGAGGUCCCGUCAUAUACCCUCAAGUAGGGGGCAUUUUGAAGGUCUUUGGGAUGGGGAAUGGUGCAGCUCCUUGCGUGUAGGGUUAUUCAACGAACCUCCCCACGUCUCGCUUUGGCAGCAGCUUAGGCGCACCCGAGAUCUUGUCCACUCUUUCUUGGUGCUCCUUCAUUUGGUCGCAAAGCGACCUAUUUUCAUUUUUCAUUUCCUCCAUCUUUUUAUGGUGCAACUUCUUCUGUGUAGGGUUGUUCAACGAACCUACCCACGUCUCUCUUUGGCAGCAACUUAGGCACACCCGGGAUCUUGUCCACUCUUUCUUGGUGCUCCUUCAACUGGUUGCGAAGCGACCUAUUUUCAUUUUCCAUUUCCUCCAUCUUUUUUAGGAUGGCUGUGAGUGCGCCGCCGGGAGCUUGAGCAUCGACGAGCACGUUGUUUGUUCGUGUGACCUCGGGUUCAUCUUCGGUUGCAACAUGGUCUGUUGCUGAUGCGCAUCUAGCGUUUUGGGGUGGCUUCUCAGCUAAACUACUCAGAGCGUUUAUCAACCACUCUUCCAGUAACAUUUUUACCUCUGGGGGUGCUUCUUUAGUUGUAGAUGUAGAAGCCUCUUUUCUCGUGGAACCACCAGAUCUUCAGAAGGGGAAGGUGGAUUUUCCGCGUUUAUCAGAGUACUAGGGGUUGCGUGUAGAGCAUCUCCUUCAGUAGCCACAUUGAGAGGGCCUAUGCGAUCGGCUCUAACAUCCACGAUAGCUUUCAUUCUUAUGUUGUUUUCAGCCAUUUUAGGUUGUAAAAAGUUGUUUUUGAAGGAUCUCUAGAAGAAAACUACAGCUUUGAUUCACGAAAUCCCCACAGAUGGCGCCAAAUUGUUUGGCUAAAAAGUUAUACGAAUACUUGUUAAGCUAAAAACCAAUCGAUAAUAUAAAAGGGUAAAUCGAAAUCACGCAUAAUAUGAACUAGAGAGUAUUAUUAUCUAAGAUCUGUGAUAAUAAUUAUAACCAUAUAUCUUGAGAUGUAAGAAUAAUGGAACAAAUAAUAAUCUUUGCACAAGAAAGAGAGAGAGAGACCGAGAGAGAGAGAGAGGAGAGAGAAUAAAUUGUAUAUUUUGAGUAGCAAAAUACAUAUGAGAGACUUUACAAAGUGAAUGUCUGCAUUAUAUAUUAGGGGACCUUCCUCAAAAUAAUCAAAGAAAAGUACAGAAGUUAGUGGUUUCAGUGUACGGAAGAGUCAGAGCUUCAAACGACGCCGUCUUGGGUCGUGUCACCGGGCCGUCCACUUACUGAGGUCGACCUUACUUGGGUCGGCCUUAGUUGGACCGGCCUUGAUGCAAAGGACGUGCAUAAAUAGCAUGAGAAUACAGGGAAUCAAAUUUGACCGAUACAACUUUUUUAAUUAUCGAAUGUAAAUAGUUUGUGUUACAGGGUAAAAGUAAUAUUUUUAUCAAAUGUUCUAAUCCGCAGAAUGCCAGACAAAGGUGUGUCAAAGUCAAAUGACCAACAAGCUGAACUUAAUUUUGCGUUCAUUCGAUGUUAGUGAUCACACGCCAACAAAAGAUAAGUCCAUGUUUAGAACAUACAUGAUUUGAUGUUCCGCAUCACGCUUUAGUAUAAUAGCUUUUUCAAAGUAAAAAUAAAAACAAAAAUCAACUCCCCCUUGUGUUAAUUAAAACCAAUUUUUUCUCCAAAUAAUUUUGACACUUAAAUCACUAGUUGCCUCUUUAUUUUCAUUCAGAAAGAGUAUUAUGACAGGAACUUGACAUCGACUUCAAUUUUGCAUGGUAAAAUUAAGAUAAUAACUCAGAAUUUACAAGAUUCAUGCAACGGUUUAUAGCUUCAGUGACAUUUCCGUUAUGGUUAAUUCUUUUGCUAUUCAGUCAAGUUGCCAUUCGAAAGUCAAGAUAUGAUCACUGAUUCACUCUAUAGAUUCUCUGAUGUGUAUAUAUUUAAUAUUUUUAACUCAUGAUACCGAACUUGCCUUUUCCUCUAGCUGUUAAAUGGCUCAAUUCUUUUAUGCAUGCCUACUCUUCUGGUGUACAGAAGCGGAUCCCGGUAGGGGUCGAGCGACCGGGCCUGACGAGAUCACGGUAGAGUUCUAGAAAUGCAUGAGUAGGUCAGGAGUGGAGUGGCUCUCCAGGUUGUUUAAUGCGAUCUUCAGGACCAAAAAGAUGCCGGAGGAGUGGAGGUGUAGUACAAUGGUGCCAUUGUACAAGAACAAAGGUGACAUCAAGUGCUGCAACAACUAUAGGGGUAUCAAAUUAAUAAGUCAUACCAUGAAGGUAUGGGAGCGGGUGAUCGAGGCGAGAGUGAGGGAGAUGACAUCUAUAUAUGUGAACCAAUUCGGUUUCAUGCCGGGUCGCUCCACUACAGAAGCUAUCCACCUUGUCAAGAGGCUGGUGGAGCAGUUUAGGGAUAAGAAGAAGGACCUGCACAUGAUGCUUAUCGACUUGGAGAAGGCGUAUGACAAGGUCCCAAGGGAGGUGCUAUGGNNNNNNNNNNNNNNNNNNNNNNNNNNNNNNNNNNNNNNNNNNNNNNNNNNNNNNNNNNNNNNNNNNNNNNNNNNNNNAUGUACGAUGGAGCUAAGACUAGGGUUAGGACGGUGGGUGGCGACUCAGACCAUUUCUAGCGGUUAUAGGGCUCCAUCAAGGAUCGGCGCUUAGCUCUCUCUUGUUUGCCUUGGUGAUGGAUGCUCUUACCCGAUAUAUUCAAGGGAAUGUGCCUUGGUGUAUGCUAUUUGCUGAUGACAUAGUCUUGAUAGACGAGACGAAGGCCAGUGUUAAUGAGAGGUUAGAGGUAUGGAGACAGACUCUCGAGUCUAAGGGUUUCAAAAUAAGCAGAUCAAAGACAGAAAGGAUCGGCGCUUAGCUCUCUCUUGUUUGCCUUGGUGAUGGAUGCUCUUACCCGAUAUAUUCAAGGGAAUGUGCCUUGGUGUAUGCUAUUUGUUGAUGACAUAGUCU